CCCUUAGAUGUUCGGGGCCGCACGCGCGCUACACUGAAGGAAUCAGCACGUCUUUCUCCUUGUCCGAAAGGACUGGGUAACCCGCUGAACCUCCUUCGUGCUAGGGAUUGGGGCUUGUAAUUCUUCCCCAUGAACGAGGAAUUCCCAGUAAGCGCGAGUCAUAAGCUCGCGUUGAUUACGUCCCUGCCCUUUGUACACACCGCCCGUCGCCACUACCGAUUGGAUGGUUUAGUGAGAUCCUCGGAUUGGUCCCGGCGCGGCCUCUGGUCGUGCCGGAGUGCCGAAAAGAAUGUCGAACUUGAUCAUCUAGAGGAAGUAAAAGUCGUAACA
rnacentral:rRNA from 1 species